rnacentral:misc_RNA from 1 species
UUUAAUUGCGAAGCUCCAAUAAAUGGGAUUUUCGUAGAUAAAACAAAUAGAGGAACGUGGAUUUAUAAAAUUCUGAAGCGUAUAAAUAUUUCAAUAGGUGAAGGAUCAGAAGCUAUCUUCGUUCAAUAUGAAGAAAUUCGUACUUUGUCUGUGUUUGAUUCUAUUGAUUGAUGUCUUGAUUACCGAAGGAAAAAAUAGUGGUAGACCUCCCGGCGGUGGAGGUGGACCUCCCGGCGGUGAAGGUGGACCUCCCGGGGCUGAAGGUGGACUUCCCAGCGGUAAAGGUAGACCUCCCGGCGGUAGAGGUGGACCGCCUGGCGGUAAAGGUAGACCUCCCGGCGGUAGAGGUGGACCUCCCGGCGGUGAAGAUGGACCUCCCGGGGCUGAAGAUGGACCUCCCAGCGGUAAAGGUGGACCUCCCGAAGGUAAAGGUAAACCUCCCGGCGGUAGAGGUGGACCUCCUGGCGGUAAAGGUAGACCUCCCGGCGGUAGAGGUGGACCUCGCGAUGGUAAAGGUGAACCUCCCGGAGGUGAAGGUGGACCUAUCCACGAUUGAUCUUUCUGAGGUAGAGGUGGACUUGGGUAAGGAAGAGAAGAAUAAAAUAUUGAAGCAGAAAACAUGAAGCAAAAUACGGCGUGGUAGAUUCUUAAUUUUCUCCUUAUUUUGAUGAUCAAUAAAAACGAAAAUUAAAAC